UUGAAAAAAAUCAAAAAGAAAGAAAGGGAGGAGCACCUCUAAAUUCAUCAUCCAUAAGCAUGGCUUCCAAUGCUUCGAUUCCCAUUCAAGGUCGAUAAUUUUAAUCUCCUUCUGUCUCUCCCUUCCUCCAGGUCGCGGUUGCAAUUUUUUUUCUUUGUAAUAGAAGAUUGAUGCCUCUGUACUCAACAAAGCCAAAACCCACGGACUGCCACCGCAACCCAUCUCCCUUGGCAAUUUUCAUCUCCCUCU